rnacentral:pre_miRNA from 1 species
CAAAACUUGGAAACUAUCAUUGGAUCGAGAAAUGGACGUCCGAGAUUCGUCCACGUCACAUUUAACUCGCAGAUUCACUGGGAGUUAAAUUUUAACUCAUGGUGACGUGGAUAAAUAUCGGACGUCUAUUUCUCGAUUCAAUGGUAGUUUUUAAAUUUUC